rnacentral:rRNA from 1 species
CCUACGGGUGGCAGCAGUGGGGAAUAUUGCACAAUGGGGGAAACCCUGAUGCAGCGACGCCGCGUGAGUGAAGAAGUAUUUCGGUAUGUAAAGCUCUAUCAGCAGGGAAGAAAUAGCGACCUUUGGGUCGCCAGACGGUACCUGAUUAAGAAGCCCCGGCUAACUACGUGCCAGCAGCCGCGGUAAUACGUAGGGGGCAAGCGUUAUCCGGAUUUACUGGGUGUAAAGGGAGCGUAGACGGCAGCGCAAGUCUGAAGUGAAAUGCCGGGGCUUAACCCCGGAACUGCUUUGGAAACUGUGCAGCUGGAGUGCAGGAGAGGUAAGUGGAAUUCCUGGUGUAGCGGUGAAAUGCGUAGAUAUUAGGAGGAACACCAGUGGCGAAGGCAGCGUACCGGCUCCACACUGACGCUGAGGCACGAAAGCGUGGGUAUCGAACAGGAUUAGAUACCCUUGUAGUC